UACGUAGGGCGCAAGCGUUGUCCGGAAUUAUUGGGCGUAAAGAGCUCGUAGGCGGUCUGUUACGUCCGCUGUGAAAACCCAGGGCUUAACCCUGGGCUUACAGUGGAUACGGGCAGACUAGAGGCAGGUAGGGGAGAAUGGAAUUCCCGGUGUAGCGGUGAAAUGCGCAGAUAUCGGGAGGAACACCGGUGGCGAAGGCGGUUCUCUGGGCCUGACCUGACGCUGAGGAGCGAAAGCGUGGGGAG
rnacentral:rRNA from 1 species